rnacentral:tRNA from 1 species
GCGGGCGUGGCGGAACCGGUAGACGCCGGGGACUUAAAAUCCCCUGAGCCUUGCUCGUGCGGGUUCGAGUCCCGCCGCCCGCACCA